AUGAAAGCAAAGGAGUUGCGAUUUACUGAGUUGAAGCUUAAGAGUGAUACCGUCAAUAAGGAUUCUAAGCAAGUGCAAGGGUUUCUAUUCUUUUUCAAAACCCUAACUGAUGCCGUUAGAUUUUUUGAUCGUCAUGAAAUGCAGGAUUCUCUAGUUGUUGCACUGUCACUUAACUCACGUGAAAGUGGGUGCACAUCAUCAGAUUAG